rnacentral:rRNA from 1 species
AUUGAACGCUGGCGGCAGGCUUAACACAUGCAAGUCGAACGGUAACAGAGAAGUGCUUGCACUUUUGCUGACGAGUGGCGGACGGGUGAGUAAUGCUUGGGAAUAUGCCAAAACGUGGGGGACAACAGUUGGAAACGACUGCUAAUACCGCAUAAUGUCUUCGGACCAAAGCAGGGGACCUUCGGGCCUUGCGCGUUUUGAUUAGCCCAAGUGGAACUGAGACACGGUCCAG